rnacentral:rRNA from 1 species
GAUGAACGCUGGCGGCGUGCCUAAUACAUGCAAGUCGAGCGAACGGACGAGAAGCUUGCUUCUCUGAUGUUAGCGGCGGACGGGUGAGUAACACGUGGAUAACCUACCUAUAAGACUGGGAUAACUUCGGGAAACCGGAGCUAAUACCGGAUAAUAUUUUGAACCGCAUGGUUCAAAAGUGAAAGACGGUCCUGCUGUCACUUAUAGAUGGAUCCGCGCUGCAUUAGCUAGUUGGUAAGGUAACGGCUUACCAAGGCAACGAUGCAUAGCCGACCUGAGAGGGUGAUCGGCCACACUGGAACUGAGACACGGUCCAGACUCCUACGGGAGGCAGCAGUAGGGAAUCUUCUGCAAUGGGCGAAAGCCUGACGGAGCAACGCCGCGUGAGUGAUGAAGGUCUUCGGAUCGUAAAACUCUGUUAUUAGGGAAGAACAUAUGUGUAAGUAACUGUGCACAUCUUGACGGUACCUAAUCAGAAAGCCACGGCUAACUACGUG